UGCCCCUUGGCUGAGUUGGUUACAGCGUCCGACUGUUAUCGCCAUCGGAAGGUCGUGAGUUCGAGCCUCACAGGGGCAG
rnacentral:tRNA from 1 species